UCAACAUAGCCAAUGAAAAAGCUGUGGGGUUACAAAUUUUGCUUUGCGGCACCAUGGCUUUAUGGCAGAAAUUGUGGUUUUUUUAAAUCUCAAUUCUUGUAUGGGAAAUGUUUUACCCGACCAUUAAACAGGCCCAAAAGAAUUAUAGUUGUGGUCAAAUACUAAUAACCCUCAUUUAAUAUUAAUAACUACUCUAGUUAAAUAUUUAUAAAACCAAAACACUACAACUUUUUCAUUCUCCACGCUGCAAUCUUUCCAUUCUCCACAAACUUUUCUGCAUCUCUCUUUUCCUCUUCUCUUCUCACGCAUCACGCAACUAUCUGUUUAGACAAUUUUUGAAAAUCAGGAAUCCUCCAUAACCUCUGGGGUUUAGACGGAUAUACAAACUCUACUCGCUGUAUUUUCUAGACAAAUUGAUUAAGGGAGAAAUAAAAGGAGCCAAAGAUCAUCAAAUGGGAAAGAAGGGCAAUUUUCAAACUUGCACAAAAUUGUUGAGAAGUGUUUUGAUUUAUUAAGUGGUGAUAGUUUUGUUUUAUAAUGUCUUUUAUGAAUUGAAUGUUUUGAGGUACCUAAGACAUGCCCCGUCCAUUUUAUUUACUAUUUUAAUGAAUUUGAUGUAUGAAUUUUAGUUUCCUCCUCUGUAUAUGAUUUUGUUUUCUAAGUUUUAUGAAUUCUGUAUUUUGGCUUU